AGCAGUAGCCGCGGUAAUACAGAGGGUGCAAGCGUUAAUCGGACUUACUGGGCGUAAAGGGCGCGUAGGUGGUUAUUUAAGUGAGAUGUGAAAGCCCCGGGCUUAACCUGGGAACUGCAUCUUAUACUGGGUAACUGGAGUGCAGUAGAGGGUAGUGGAAUUUCCGGUGUAGCGGUGAAAUGCGUAGAUAUCGGAAGGAACACCAGUGGCGAAGGCGGCUACCUGGACUGAGACUGACACUGAGGCGCGAGAGCGUGGGGAGCAAACAGGAUUAGAUACCCCCGUAGUCCCUGUCUCUUAUAC
rnacentral:rRNA from 1 species